AUUGAACGCUGGCGGCAUGCUUUACACAUGCAAGUCGAACGGUAACAGGCCUUCGGGUGCUGACGAGUGGCGAACGGGUGAGUAAUGCAUCGGAACGUGCCCAAUCGUGGGGGAUAACGUAGCGAAAGUUACGCUAAUACCGCAUAAGCCCUGAGGGGGAAAGCAGGGGAUCGCAAGACCUUGCGCGAAUGGAGCGGCCGAUGUCAGAUUAGCUAGUUGGUGGGGUAAAGGCCUACCAAGGCGACGAUCUGUAGCGGGUCUGAGAGGAUGAUCCGCCACACUGGGACUGAGACACGGCCCAGACUCCUACGGGAGGCAGCAGUGGGGAAUUUUGGACAAUGGGCGCAAGCCUGAUCCAGCCAUGCCGCGUGCGGGACGAAGGCCUUCGGUUGUAAACCGCUUCUAGCCGGAAGAAUACGCCAAGGCUAAUAUCCUUGGUGGAGUGACGGUACCGGAAGAAGAAGCACCGGCU
rnacentral:rRNA from 1 species